AGUAAAAUUAUUCUAUAAAUUCUGUUACUCUAUAGAACCCUGACUAAUACAGAUGUAUCUACAGGCCAAUCUGAUAAAAGUAUUUUCUCAAUUGAGAAAUUAGUUUUCCCAAAUGACCCUAAUUUGUAUCAAGUAGACAAAAAACCCAACCAGUACAUUCCUGUAAUAUAUUAUGGUGGUUUGACGAUGAAUGGCCCCCACAGGCUCAUAAAUUUGAAUGUUUGGUCUUCAGGGAGUGGCACUAUUAGGUGUGGCCAUGUUGGUGUAGUGUGGACUUGUUGGAGGAAGUGUGUCACUGGGGAUGGGUUUGAGGUUUCAAAUGUUCAAGCCAGGCCCACUGUCUCUUUCUUUCCUGCUGUCUGUGGAUCCGGAACUCUCAGCUACCUCUCCAGCACCAUGCCUGUCUACGUGACAUCAUGCUACCUGCCAUGCUGAUGAUGGACUAAACCUCUGAACCUGUAAGCAAAUCCCAAUUAAAUGCUUUCCUUUUUAAGAA
rnacentral:lncRNA from 1 species